rnacentral:rRNA from 1 species
UGGGGAAUAUUGCGCAAUGGGCGAAAGCCUGACGCAGCGACGCCGCGUGGAGGAUGAAGGUCUUCGGAUUGUAAACUUCUGUUAAGUGGGAAGAAAGCUUUGCUUUUAAUAGAAGCGAAGGAUGACGGUACCAUUAGAGAAAGCACCGGCUAAACUCGUGCCAGCAGCCGCGGUAAUACGAGUGGUGCAAGCGUUAUUCGGAAUCAUUGGGCGUAAAGGGUGUGUAGACGGUAUGUUAAGUCAACUGUUAAAUUCUCCGGCCUAACCGGAGGUCAGCAGUAGAAACUGGCGUGCUAGAGGGUGGAAGAGAGAAGUGGAAUUCUCGGAGUAGCGGUAAAAUGCGUAGAUCUCGAGAGGAACACCAAUGGCGAAGGCAGCUUCUUGGUCCAUUUCUGACGUUGAAACACGAAAGCGUGGGGAGCAAACA